rnacentral:rRNA from 1 species
UUCUGGCUCAGGAUGAACGCUAGCGGCAGGCUUAACACAUGCAAGGUCGAGGGGCAGCGGGUGUAGCAAUACAUGCCGGCGACCGGCGCAAGGGUGCGUAACGCGUGAGCAAUCUGCCCGUAUCAGGGGGAUAAGCGAUGGAAACGUCGUCUAAUACCGCAUAACACAUUGGAUGGCAUCGUCCGAUGUUGAAAGCUUCGGUGGAUACGGAUGAGCUCGCGAGACAUUAGUUAGUUGGCGGGGUAACGGCCCACCAAGACCGCGAUGUCUAGGGGAACUGAGAGGUUGGUCCCCCACACUGGAACUGAGACACGGUCCAGACUCCUACGGGAGGCAGCAGUGAGGAAUAUUGGACAAUGGCCGGAAGGCUGAUCCAGCCAUGCCGCGUGAAGGAAUAAGGUCCUAUGGAUUGUAAACUUCUUUUGGGUGGGAGCAAUAAGUGUGACGAGUCACACGAUGAGAGUACCAUUCGAAUAAGCAUCGGCUAACUCCGUGCCAGCCGCAGC